GAUGAAGAACGCAGCGAAAUGCGAUAAGUAAUGUGAAUUGCAGAAUUCAGUGAAUCAUCGAAUCUUUGAACGCACAUUGCGCCCCCCGGCAUUCCGGGGGGCAUGCCUGUUCGAGCGUCAUUUCAACCCUCGAGCCCCCCCGGGGGCCUCGGUGUUGGGGGACGGCACACCAGCCGCCCCCGAAAUGCAGUGGCGACCCCGCCGCAGCCUCCCCUGCGUAGUAGCACACACCUCGCACCGGAGCGCGGAGGCGGUCACGCCGUAAAACGCCCAACUUUCUUAGAGUUGACCUCGGAUCAGGUAGGAAUACCCGCUGAACUUAAGCAUAUCAAUAAGCGGAGGA
rnacentral:misc_RNA from 1 species